rnacentral:rRNA from 1 species
CGCGAAGAACCUUACCUGGUCUUGACAUCCACAGAGCUUUCCAGAGAUGGAUUGGUGCCUUCGGGAACUGUGAGACAGGUGCUGCAUGGCUGUCGUCAGCUCGUGUUGUGAAAUGUUGGGUUAAGUCCCGCAACGAGCGCAACCCUUAUCCUUUGUUGCCAGCGGUUAGGCCGGGAACUCAAAGGAGACUGCCAGUGAUAAACUGGAGGAAGGUGGGGAUGACGUCAAGUCAUCAUGGCCCUUACGACCAGGGCUACACACGUGCUACAAUGGCAUAUACAAAGAGAAGCGACCUCGCGAGAGCAAGCGGACCUCAUAAAGUAUGUCGUAGUCCGGAUUGGAGUCUGCAACUCGACUCCAUGAAGUCGGAAUCGCUAGUAAUCGUAGAUCAGAAUGCUACGGUGAAUACGUUCCCGGGCCUGUACACACCGCCCGUCACACCAUGGGAGUGGGUUGCAAAAGAAGUAGGUAGCUUAACCUUCGGGAGGGCGCUUACCACUUUGUGAUUCAUGACUGGGGGAAGUCGUAACAAGGUAACCGUAGGGAACCUGCGGCUGGAUCACCUCCUUU